UUUUUUUUUUUUGCGCGUCCGUGGCCAAAUUGGUGGGGAAAUCUUUUAUAGACUAUCCUGGGUAGGGUACCGUCACUCCCAGGAGUGUGGGACUCGCCUUACGGAAUACCCACUAAAACCACCACCAAAAGCCAGAGAUCGAAGAG